rnacentral:piRNA from 1 species
UAGUUUUCUGAUUAUUGUAAUUAUGUGUC